GUGCCAGCCGCCGCGGUAAUACGUAGGUGGCAAGCGUUGUCCGGAAUUAUUGGGCGUAAAGCGCGCGCAGGCGGGAUAUCAAGUCUGUCUUAAAAGUGCGAGGCUCAACCUCGUGAGGGGACAGAAACUGGUAUUCUUGAGUGUCGGAGAGGAAAGUGGAAUUCCAAGUGUAGCGGUGAAAUGCGUAGAGAUUUGGAAGAACACCAGUGGCGAAGGCGACUUUCUGGACGAUGUCUGACGCUGAGGCGCGAAAGCUAGGGGAGCGAACGGGAUUAGAUACCCGGGUAGUCC
rnacentral:rRNA from 1 species